rnacentral:rRNA from 1 species
CACUUACACACCUGCUCGCCAGAGAACUACAAGCGAAAGCUUCAAACCCAAAGGACUUGACGGUGUCCCACAUCAGCCUAGAGGAGCCUGUCCUAUAAUCGAUACCCCACGUUUAACCUUACCCUCUCUUGUUCCUCAGCCUAUAUACCGCCGUCGCCAGCCUGCCUGAUGACAGACUACAAGCCGACAUAACUGUAUACCACAAGAACGUCAGGUCAAGGUGUAGCUUAUGAGCAGGGUUAGAGAUGGGCUACAUUUCCCAACAGAGGACGAACCCACCACCACAUGAAAAUUGGUCACAAGCUGGAUUUAGUAGUAAGCAUGGCAAGACAUACCAUCCUGAAAACUGCUCUGGAACGCGU